rnacentral:rRNA from 1 species
CGGGUGAGUAAUGCUUGGGAAUCUGGCUUAUGGAGGGGGAUAACUACGGGAAACUGUAGCUAAUACCGCGUAAUAUCGAAAGAUUAAAGUGUGGGACCUUCGGGCCACAUGCCAUAGGAUGAGCCCAAGUGGGAUUAGGUAGUUGGUGAGGUAAAGGCUCACCAAGCCGACGAUCUCUAGCUGGUCUGAGAGGAUGACCAGCCACACUGGGACUGAGACACGGCCCAA